GGGAUAUCGCACAAUGGGCGAAAGCCUGAUGCAGCGACGCCGCGUGAGGGAAGACGGUCUUCGGAUUGUAAACCUCUGUCUUUGGGGAAGAAUAGAGACGGUACCCAAAGAGGAAGCUCCGGCUAACUACGUGCCAGCAGCCGCGGUAAUACGUAGGGAGCGAGCGUUGUCCGGAAUUACUGGGUGUAAAGGGAGCGUAGGCGGGCUUGUAAGUUGAAUGUCUAAUCCACCGGCUCAACCGGUGAUCGCGUUCAAAACUGCAGGUCUUGAGUGAAGUAGAGGCAGGCGGAAUUCCUAGUGUAGCGGUGAAAUGCGUAGAUAUUAGGAGGAACACCAGUGGCGAAGGCGGCCUGCUGGGCUUUAACUGACGCUGAGGCUCGAAAGCGUGGGGAGCAAAC
rnacentral:rRNA from 1 species